AGCCUCUCAGGGUCACACCUGGUGAGUUUCCAGGACUCUACCAGUCUCAGUUACAGUAGGGAGAGUCAAGCAGAGGCAUACCCAUUCCAUUUCUAGCUUGUUCAGUGGCUAGCAAGUGGAAGGCAAUCUGCUACAAGU